UGCGAUCCCAGGUCAGGAGGGAUCGCCCGCUGAGUUUAAGCAUACCAAUAAGGAGAGGAAAAGAAACUUACAAGGAUUCCCCUAGUAACGGCGAGCAAACUGGGAAUAGCCCAACUUGUGAAUCGGGCGGCCACGCCUUUCGAAUUAUAGUCUGGAGAAGCGUCCGCAGCGGCGGACCAGGGUUGAGUCCCCUAGAAUGGGGCUCCAUGAGGCGCUGUCGGCGAGUCGGGUUGUUGUGGAAUGCAGCUCCGAUCGGGCGGUAAAUUCCAUCCAAGGCUAAAUACGGGCAAGAGACCGAUAGCGAACACGUACCGCGAGGGAAAGAUGAAAAGAACUUUGAAAAGAGAGUCAAAGAGUGCUUGAAAUUGUUAGGAGAGAAGCGAAUAGGGGCCGACGAUGCAUCCCGAUCAAAUGUGGAACGGUGAGAGCCGAUCCGCCGAUCGACUCAGGGCGCGGCCAGCACGGAUCGAUAUGGCGCUCAAAGCUUGGGUGGUUGAUAUGCUCGUUGUACGGUGUCGCACCAAUCCAGGCAAACAACGCGCUCCUCGUACGUGCCUCGGUAACUACGUGUUCCCAGUGCUGGCCUGCGGGCUCCCCAUUUGACCCUCUUGAAACACAGACCAAGGAGUCUGACAUGUGCGCGAGUCAAUGGGCGAUUAAACCCGUAAGGUGCAAGGAAGCUGACCGGUGCAAUUCCCCUAAGGGGUGCACCGCCGACCGACCUUGAUCUUCUAAGAAGUGUUCGAGUGAGCGUACCUGUCGGGACACAAAAGAUGGUGAACUAUGCCUGAGCGGGGCAAAGCCAGAGGAAACUCUGGGGAGGCCCGCAGCGAUGCUGACGUGGAAAUUCCUUCGUCUGACUUGAGUAUAGGGACGAAAGACUAAUCGAACCGUCUAGUAGCUGGUUCCCUUCGAAGUUUCCAUUAGGAUAGCUGGAGCUCUAGUGCGAGUUCUAUCGGGUAAAGCCAAUGAUUAGAGGAAUCGGGGGCGCAACACCCUCGACCUAUUCUCAAACUUUAAAUAGGUAGGACGGCAUGGCUGCUCCAUUGAGCCACGCCAGAGAAUCAUGAGCUCCAAGUGGGCCAUUUUUAGUAAGCAGAACUGGCAAUGCAGGAUGAACCGAAAGCCGGGUUACAGUGCCCAACUACACGCUAACCUAGAUCCCACAAAGGGUGUUGGUCGAUUAAGAUAGCAGGAUGGUGGUCAUGGAAGUCGAAAUCUGCUAAGGAGUGUGUAACAAUUCACCUGCCAAAUUAACUAGCCCCAAAAAUGGAUGGCACUGAUGCGCGCGACCUAUACCCAGCCGUCGGGGCAAGGGCCACGCCCCGAUGAGUAGGAGGGCGCGGCGGUCGGUGCAAAACCCUGGGCGCAAGCCCGGGCGGAGCGGCCGUCGGUGUGGAUCUUGGUGGUAGUUGUAAAUAUCCAAAUGAGAACUUUGAAGGCUGAAGAGGGGAAAGGUUCCAUGUGAAUGACACUUGCACAUGGGUUAGUCGAUCCUAAGGGUCGGGAGAAGCCUGACAGACUACGCGUUCAGCGCGUGCUCCAAAAGGGAGUCGGGUUGAAAUUUCCAAACCAGGAUGCGGUGGUUGACAGCAAUGUUAGGGAGUCCGGAGAUGUUGGCGGGGGCCUCGGGAAGAGAUCUUUUCUGUUUAACAGUCCAUCCACCCUGGAAAUGGCUCAGCCGGAGGUAGGGUCCAGCGGCUGGAAGAGCACCGUACGUCACGUGGUGUCCGGUGUGCCCCCGGCGGUCCUUGAGAAUCUAGAGGACCGAGUACCAUCCACGCCCGGUUGUACUCAUAACCGCAUCAGGUCUCCAAGGUGAACAACAUCUGGUCGAUGGAAUAAUGAAGGUGAACAACCGCAUCAGGACUGCUCGAGCUGCUCGCGCGGAGAGAGCUGGUCAUCGCGUACUGGCCAGGGGACGGACUGGGAAUAGCUCCCUCGGGGGGCUUCCCCGGGCGUCGAACAGUCGACUCAGAACUGGUACGAACAAGGGGAAUCUGACUGUUUAGUUAAAACAAAGCAUUGCGAUGGUCCCUGCGGAUGCUCAUACAAUGUGAUUUUUGGCCAAUGCUCUGAAUGUCAAAGUGAAGAAAUUUAACCAAGCGCGGGUAAACGACGGGAGUUACUAUGACUCUCUUAAGGUAGCCAAAUGCCUCGUCAUCUAAUUAGUGACAUGCAUGAAUGGAUUAACAAGAUUCCUAUUAUCCCUGUCUACUAACCAGCGAAACCACAACCAAGGGAACGGGCUUGGCGGAAUCAGCGGGGAAAAAAGACCCUGUUGAGCUUGACUCUAGUCCGACUUUGUGAAAUGACUUGAGAGGUGUAGGAUAAGUGGGACCCGAAAGGCAAAAAUUAAAUACCACUACUUUUAACGUUAUUUUACUUAUUUUGUGAAUCGGAGGUGGGGCAUCACCCCUCUUUCUGGACCCAAGGCUCGCCCCGGCGGGCCGAGCCAGGCAGAAGACAUUGUCAGGUGGGGAGUUUGGCUGGGGCGGCACAUCUAUUAAAAGAUAACGCAGGUGUCCUAAGAUGAGCUCAACGCGAACAGAAAUCUCGUGUGGAACAGAAGGGUAAAAGCUCAUAUGAUUCUGAUUUCUAAUACGAAUAUGAACCGUGAAAGCGUGGCCUAACGAUCCUUUAGACCUUCGGAAUUUGAAGCUAGAGGUGUCAGAAAAGUUACCACAGGGAUAACUGGCUUGUGGCAGCCAAGCAUUUAUAGCGACGUUGCUUUUUGAUCCUUCGAUGUCGGCACUUCCUAUCAUUGUGAAGCAGAAUUCACCAAGUGUUGGAUUGUUCACCCACCAAUAGGGAACGUGAGCUGGGUUUAGAUCAUCAUGAGACAUGUUAUUUUUACCUACUGACGAUGGUGUCGCAACAGUAAUUCAACGUAGUAUGAGAAGAGCCGUUGAUUUGCACAAUUGGUCAUUGCACUUGGUUGAAAAGCCAGUGGCGCGAAGUUACCGUGCGAUGGAUUAUGAUUGAACGCCUCUAAGUCAGAAUCCGAGCUAGACGUGAUGCAUGCGCCUGCCAUCCACUCCCCGAACCGCAGUAGGGGCCCUCGGGCCCCCAAGGGCAUGUGUCGUUGGCCAAGCCCCCAUAAUGGAAGAGCCGCAUGGGCCGCCUCAAAGUACAAUUCCAAUCGAGCGGCGGGUAGAAUCCUUUGCUGAUGACUUAAAUACGCGAUCGGGUAUUGUAAGCGGCAGAGUGGCCUUGCUGCCACGAUCCACUGAGAUUCAGCCCUUCGUCGAUUAGAUUCAU
rnacentral:rRNA from 1 species